rnacentral:rRNA from 1 species
UACGUAGGGUGCGAGCGUUGUCCGGAAUUAUUGGGCGUAAAGAGCUCGUAGGCGGCUUGUCGCGUCGGAUGUGAAAGCCCGGGGCUUAACUCCGGGUCUGCAUUCGAUACGGGCAGGCUAGAGUUCGGUAGGGGAGAUCGGAAUUCCUGGGUGUAGCGGUGAAAUUCGUAGAUAUUGGGAAGAACACCGGUGGCGAAGGCGGCUCACGUCGGCCGAUGACGCUGAGGCGAAC